rnacentral:lncRNA from 1 species
CCGGGAACGGCCGUGCGGGAAACCCGGCUGAGUUCCGGGCAGCGCCGUGACGUCAGCGCGCGGCCCGCGGCCGCCGCCGCCGCCUCUUAAAGGGGCCGCGCCCUCACCGGGGGGAACCCGGGGGGGCCCACAGCGACCCCGCCCGGGGCACCGGGGCAGCACCGGGGCGGGGAGCCACGAGGCCUACGGGGCCUGGGGGUGGGAACCGAGCCUCGACGAGGCUUGGCUGCCCUGCCCGGGCUCCCCCGGGGGCUUUCGGUGGUCCUGGGGGGGUUCCCGGUGCCCCCCGGUGGGACGGGACCCCCCCGGUGCGGGCGCGCAGAGCGAGGCGGGAGGCCGGGGCUCGUAGAAAAGAGCUUUAUUAGCGGGGCUGCUCGCCGGGAGGCAGCCGGAGGGAGCGGUUAGAGGCGGCAGCAGCCCCCCCUGGGCGAGGGGGGGGCACGCGUUAAAAAAAAAAAUAAUAAAAGUGUUAAAAAUUAACCAAAAACGCAAUAAUUGGGGCUUUGGGGAGAGGAGUGUGGGGGUGGUGAGCCGCCCAUGGUGGGCUCAGCGGGAGCAGCAGCACGCGGGGCCGCCCGUCCUGGUCCCCGGGAUGGGGAUGAUGUGGGACGGGGAGCGGGGGGGUUGUAGGGCCAGGAGCUGGUUGGGUUGUAGGGCUGAGAGCCAGGUGGUCUGCAGGGUCCGGAACCGGGUGGGUUGUAGGGCCUGGAGCUGGUUGGUUUGUAGGACCGGGAGCCUGUUGAUCUAUAGGACCAGGAGCCGGUUGGUUUGUAGGACCGGGAGCCUAUGGAUUUGUAGGACUGGGAGCCCAUUGAUUUGUAGGGCUCGGAGCCCGUUGAUCUGUAGUACCAGGAGCUGGUUGAUUUGUAGGGCCCGGAGCCCAUUGAUUUGUAGGACCGGGAGCCAGUUGGUUUGUAGGACCGGGAGCCUGUGGAUUUGUCGGACCGGGAGCCGGUUGGUUUGUAGGGCCCGGAGCCGGUUGCCUUGCUCCCACUGCCACGGGGGAGCCUUCACCUCGCAGCCCCCAUUCAGCCCACACACCUUGGCCCCUGCCCGCAGCCGCCCCCCAGCCCCGCAUCCCGGGGGUCUCACGGGGCAGACAUCUCAUCCCCUUGGGGCAGCAGGGCAGGACCCCCCCAUGGGGCUGGGGGCACCGGACAAGAAGAGGGGAAACGAUGCGGAGAGGAAAAGCAAGUUUAUCUAUUUAGUGGGGCCAG